rnacentral:lncRNA from 1 species
AGCCACCCCGUCCUAGGGAUCCCUACCCUACGGCUUGCUUACCAGUUACUGCUCCCUGCCUGGUUUCAACCAUUGCAGGGCUCUUCAAGUACCUGGUCUACCAUCUGGUCAUGAGUGCAAGCAAACAAGAAGAUUAUCAUCCAAAAUUGUUACGUGCAAAGCACAAUUUACAAAGGCACAAGAUGCAGAAGACAGUGAGGAGGUCCAAGGGGAAGGAGGGUAAGAAAAGGAAGAUUCAGGAAGAUCUUUUGUUACGUAAGAAGUGAAGAGAUCAUUCAGAUUCUGAUUUAAAAAGGAAACAAGACAUCAUGUUUCCUUUUACGGCCCUAG